rnacentral:rRNA from 1 species
GACGAACGCUGGCGGCGUGCUUAACACAUGCAAGUCGAACGGAAAGGCCCUGCUUUUGUGGGGUGCUCGAGUGGCGAACGGGUGAGUAACACGUGAGUAACCUGCCCUUGACUUUGGGAUAACUUCAGGAAACUGGGGCUAAUACCGGAUAGGAGCUCCUGCUGCAUGGUGGGGGUUGGAAAGUUUCGGCGGUUGGGGAUGGACUCGCGGCUUAUCAGCUUGUUGGUGGGGUAGUGGCUUACCAAGGCUUUGACGGGUAGCCGGCCUGAGAGGGUGACCGGCCACAUUGGGACUGAGAGACGGCCCAGACUCGUACGGGAGGCAGCAGUGGGGAAUAUUGCACAAUGGGCGGAAGUCUGAUGCAGCAACGCCGCGUGCGGGAUGACGGCCUUCGGGGUGUAAACCGCUUUCGCCUGUGACGAAGCGUGAGUGACGGUAAUGGGUAAAGAAGCACCGGCUAACUACGUG